rnacentral:rRNA from 1 species
CAGUCGAGGGGUAAGGUUCUCUUCGGAGGAUACACGACCGGCGCACGGGUGAGUAACGCGUAUGUAACCUGCCUUUAACACGAGGAUAGCUUCCGGAAACGGAAAUUAAUACUUGAUAACAUUAUUAAGUGGCAUCACUAAAUAAUCAAAGUUCCGAUGGUUAAAGAUGGGCAUGCGUGACAUUAGGUAGUUGGUGGGGUAAAGGCCUACCAAGCCGACGAUGUCUAGGGGGUCUGAGAGGAUGAUCCCCCACACUGGUACUGAGACACGGACCAGACUCCUACGGGAGGCAGCAGUGGGGAAUCUUGCGCAAUGGACGAAAGUCUGACGCAGCCAUCCCGCGUGCAGGAUUGACAGCCCUAUGGGUUGUAAACUGCUUUUCUGGAAGAAGAAAGUUAGCUAUUCGUUAGUUAAUUGCCGGUACUCCAGGAAUAAGCAUCGGCUAACUCCGUGCCAGCAGCCGCGGUAAUACGGAGGAUGCAAGCGUUAUCCGGAAUCACUGGGUUUAAAGGGUGCGCAGGCGGAAUAGCAAGUCAGAGGUGAAAGACUACAGCUCAACUGUGGAAUUGCCUUUGAUACUGUUAUUCUUGAGUGUAGUUGAAGUGGGCGGAAUAUAGCAUGUAGCGGUGAAAUGCAUAGAUAUGCUAUAGAACACCAAUUGCGAAGGCAGCUCGCUAAACUAUAACUGACGCUGAGGCACGAAAGCGUGGGGAGCGAACAGGAUUAGAUACCCUGGGUAGUCCACGCCGUAAACGAUGAACACUCGCUGUUGGCGAUACA